AUUGAACGCUGGCGGAAUGCUUUACACAUGCAAGUCGAACGGCAGCACGGGAGCUUGCUCCUGGUGGCGAGUGGCGAACGGGUGAGUAAUACAUCGGAACGUACCCAGUUAUGGGGGAUAACUAACCGAAAGGUUAGCUAAUACCGCAUACGCCCUGAGGGGGAAAGCGGGGGACCGUAAGGCCUCGCGUAAUUGGGGCG
rnacentral:rRNA from 1 species